rnacentral:lncRNA from 10 species
CCCCCUUUGCAUCCCCUCCUUGUAUGUGAGCUCUGUUUUUACUCUAUUUUACUCUAUUAAAUCUUGCAACUGCACUCUUCUGGUCCAUGUUUGUUAUGGCUCAAGCUGAGUUUUUGCUCGCGUCCACCACUGCUGUUUUGCCGCCGUCGCUGACCUGCCGCUGACUUCCAUCCCUCCAGAUCCAGUAGGGUGCCGGCUGUGCUCCUAACCCAGGGAGGCGCCCAUUGCCGCUCCCAAUGGGGUUAAAGGCUUGCCAUUGUUCCUGCAGGGCUAAGUGCCUGGGUUCGUCCUAAUCGAGCUGAACACUAGUCACUGGGUUCCAGGGUUCUCUUCCGUGACCCACGACUUCUAAUAGACCUAUAACACUCACCACAUGGCCCAAGAUUCCAUUCCUUGGAAUCCGUGAGGCCAAGAAACCCAGGUCAGAGAACAGGAGGCUUGCCACCAUCUUGGAAGUGGCCCACCACCAUCUUGGGAGCUCUGGGAGCAAGGACCCCUGGUAACACUUUCAGAUAUCUUGUCAAUAACAGCUAUUAAUUAGUUGUCGUGACUUGCAAAAUCUCUGAUUUGGAUGAAAUACAAGACAUGAAGUUUUGAAAAAGAAGCUCAAGAAUCAUCCAGCCCAAUAAUAUAAUUUCCUGAUUAAUUGUGACAGACCCAGAAAUAUGGAGAAUUUUCCA